GAUGAACGCUAGCGGCAGGCCUAACACAUGCAAGUCGAGGGGUAGAACACUUCGGUGUUUGAGACCGGCGCACGGGUGCGUAACGCGUAUGCAAUCUACCUUGUACAGGGGAAUAGCCCAGAGAAAUUUGGAUUAAUUCCCCAUAGUAUAUAACCUUCGCAUGUUGGUUAUAUUAAAGUUCCAACGGUACAAGAUGAGCAUGCGUCCCAUUAGUUAGUUGGUAAGGUAUCGGCUUAACAAGACGAUGAUGGGUAGUGGUCCUGAGAGGGAGAUCCCCCACACUGGUCCUGAGACACGGACCAGACUCCUACGGGAGGCAGCAGUGAGGAAUAUUGGUCAAUGGUCGCAAGACUGAACCAGCCAUGCCGCGUGCAGGAAGACGGUCCUAUGGAUUGUAAACUGCUUUUAUACAGGAAGAAACCCUCCCACGUGUGGGAGCUUGACGGUAGUGUAGGAAUAAGGAUCGGCUAACUCCGUGCCAGCCGCCGCGGUAAUAC
rnacentral:rRNA from 1 species